rnacentral:rRNA from 1 species
GACGAACGCUGGCGGCGCGCCUAACACAUGCAAGUCGAACGGAGCUGAGAGAAGCUUGCUUUUCUUAGCUUAGUGGCGAACGGGUGAGUAACGCGUGAGUAACCUGCCCUGGAGUGGGGGACAACAGUUGGAAACGACUGCUAAUACCGCAUAAGCCCACGAACCGGCAUCGGAAUGAGGGAAAAGGAUUUAUUCGGUUCAGGAUGGACUCGCGUCCAAUUAGCUAGUUGGUGAGGUAACGGCCCCCCAAGGAGACGAUUGGUAGCCGGACUGAGAGGUUGAACCGCCACAUUGGGACUGAGACACGGCCCAGACUCCUACGGGAGGCAGCAGUGGGGGAUAUUGCACAAUCGGGGAAACCAUGAUGCAGCGCCGCCGCGUGGAGGCAGAAGGUUUUCGGAUUCUAAACUCCUGUCGUUAGGGACCAUAAUGACGGUACCUAACAAGAAAGCCCCGGCUAACUACGUG